rnacentral:tRNA from 107 species
GGGCGCAUAGCUCAGUUGGUAGAGCAGCUGACUCUUAAUCAGCGGGUCCUAGGUUCGAACCCUAGUGCGCCCACCA